rnacentral:rRNA from 1 species
CAAUAGCGUAUAUUAAAGCUGUUGCGGUUAAAAAGCUCGUAGUUGGAUUUCUGUCAAGGACAACUGGUCCGCCCUCCGGGUGAGCACAUAGUUUGGUCUUGACAUCUUGCUGGAAGCUGUUGCUGCACUUGGCUGUGUGGCGCAGUGUUCAGCACUUUCACUUUGAGGAAAUUGGAGUGUUUCAAGCAGGCACAUGCCUUUGGACACAGUAGCAUGGAAUAAUUAGAUUGGGCUUUUGCUCCAAUUUGUCGGUUUCUGGAGCUGAGGUGAGUAUUAAUGGGGAUUGUUGGGGGCAUCCGAAUUUAGCCGUCAGAGGUGAAAUUCUUGGAUCUGCUAAAGACGGACAACUGCGAAAGCGUUUGCCAAGGAUGUUUUCAUUGA